CAAUAGCGUAUAUUAAAGUUGUUGCAGUUAAAAAGCUCGUAGUUGGAUUUCUGAAUGGAUGCCGAUGCCCGCCUGUUGGCGUGUGCAAAGGUGCCCGUUCAUCCUUCUGUUAAGGUUUCUUAGUAUUCAUUUACUGGUUUCCGGCUCAGAUAUUUUACCUUGAAUAAAUUAGAGUGUUUCAGGCAAGCUUGGUCUUGAAUACAUUAGCAUGGAAUAAUAGAAUAGGACUCUAGAUCCUUUGUUGGUUUCUGGAUUUGGAGUAAUGAUUAAUAGGGAUAGUUGGGGGCAUUAGUAUUUAAUUGUCAGAGGUGAAAUUCUUGGAUUUAUUAAAGACUAACUUAUGCGAAAGCAUUUGCCAAGGAUGUUUNCAUUAA
rnacentral:rRNA from 1 species